rnacentral:piRNA from 1 species
UUGAUUCUGAAAAGAAAGCUGGC